rnacentral:lncRNA from 1 species
GGAUAAGCGCUCCUUCUCUUUAUGCCCUCAGCCAAGUUACAUAACCAACCACAUGGCCCCCAAAUGUCCCCCAGCACCAAAGCUUCAAGAUAAAUGUGGACAGAUGAGUAGCAGGAGCAGCACAUAACCAGAAUGAUCGAGCGGGCGCCCCCCUUCAUCUGUGUUUUAGUCAGUAAGGCUCAUGACACACUCAGCAUUUAGCUUUGGAGCUCUACCUCCCUCUACUUCCCAAAUGACAUAGGGAAAGAAAAGAAAGGGAGAAAACAUGUUGAGAGACAUCAGGUGCUCUUCUACAGGGGACCUCAUUUGGCCCAGGUGCAGAAGAAGCUUUUGCUCGCCUCACUACCCUGGUGGUCUAACAUUUGUGGGAAACUGUCUCCUCUAAUGGUGUCAUUUCAGGAGAAAAGCCCACGUCUCUGUUCUUUCCUGGAUCUGAUUGUGUCUAAAAAUGUUCUUUCACCUCUUUGCUUUAAAGCUGUGAGUCGCCCUCCUUUUUAAACAAUCUUCGAACAAACUUCAAAGGAUCCCUAUAAAAGGCCGUUCUCACUCAUUUCUUCCUCUCUCUCCUCUGAUAAACGGUUUCUGAGCUCCUCUUGCAGUACAUUAAUUCCCUCGGUCUUAUCUGCUGUCACCUUUGCCUGCUGUUUUUCUCAGCUGUCUCCUCUACUCCACCAAUUUGUCCAUUUCACUCUGGGAUCUGGAGCUACCUGGCUGCUCUCUCUCUACAAACUUCCCCUCCUUUAUUAUAAAUCUGUCAGCACCAAAUGCAUAAAUAAUGUCUCCAAUCCUCUCUAAUUUAGUCUAAUAUCAUAAUAAGAGCCCUGUUUAUUGUAUGUCAUUCUUUCCUGUCAGCUGUUGUUGAUUAAGAGUAAAAUCUAAAGCUUAAUUAAUGUAUGAAAUCAAUUGUUCAAGAAAUAAAAUACAGCAGACACAGGCAAAUUACAAUUGUCUGCACCUUCCUCAUUGAAUGUUGCACUGAUCUCAUAAAACUGCUGUUUUCUGUUUGAAGACAGAGACUGUUUGGACUGUUUGACUUGUUAACACAGAAUGUUCAGUACUUUGAGGCAGUCUGAGCCGCAUUUAUGGAGCUUGGCAGUUCACAGCAUUUGUUCACAUAGUGUUUUAAUGGAGGGAAACAUCUCCAGCGGCGGCCCUUCACUUCUCCACAGGCGAACAGACCGCACACUUCCUGGAAAAAGACCCGGUGGUUGAUUCAUAGAAACCAAGCCCAAGUGCUGGACACCGCAGCAGGACCAGACAGACCAGCAGACAUCAGGAGAUCAUUUGGGUCAGAUUUAUUAACAAGUGUUUCAAGAAAUGAAACAGGAGAGCAAGUUUUUGGGUCGGCUGAUUAGGUUUGAAUCUCUCAGAGAGUCGUAAGAUAAAAAGAAAUAGCCUUGUGCAUUUGCUUGGUUUUCAAAUGCUUGUAUUUCUGUUUAUAUAAAAAACCCAAAUCUUAAGGUCCAUAAGUUUUCCCUAAAGUUUCAGUAAAUUAUUACACUAUACAGUGAAAUAUCAUCCUAUACUAUGAUAUUUUUAUCAUACUGUACUAUGACAUUAUUAUUAUUAAUACUAUUGUAUUUUUAUCAUACUAUACUAUGAUAUUUUUAUCUUACUAUACCAUAAUAUUUUUACCAUACUUAAAUUUGACACGUAGUAGUAUGAUAAAAAAGAUAAGCCACAACAUUGGUGGGACAGUGGUGUAAUGGUUAUCACUGAUGCCUUACAGAAAGAUGGUCAUGGGUUCAAAUCCUGGUCAGGCA